CUGAUAUUAUCCUUUUGUUGCUCUUGUCCUUUUGUGUGGCUGUCUUGCUUUGCUCCCAAAUGCUCAAGCAACCUUGAAGAAAAGAGGAGAUUUUAAGAGUUCAUCGUGAAGGUGAUGGACAUGGGUUCCGGACUCAGGCCACUUUACGCUUAUCUAAUGCUUUUAAUAGAAGGGAAGAUCUUUCUUUUGUUGAUUUGGAGCGCUC
rnacentral:lncRNA from 1 species